UACGGGGGGUGCAAGCGUUGCUCGGAAUCACUGGGCGUAAAGCGUCCGCAGGCGGCUUGGUAAGUCGGGUGUGAAAUCCCGGGGCUCAACCCCGGAACUGCAUUCGAAACUGCCUGGCUUGAGUACGGGAGAGGGUCGUGGAAUUCCUGGUGUAGAGGUGAAAUUCGUAGAUAUCAGGAGGAACACCGGUGGCGAAAGCGGCGACCUGGCCCGAUACUGACGCUCAUGGACGAAAGCGUGGGGAGCAAAC
rnacentral:rRNA from 1 species